rnacentral:rRNA from 1 species
GGAAUGUACCUACGAUCUUGUAUUGAAGUGUUAUAGCCUUCGGUAGAUGUGACGAUCGGGGUUGAGGAUUGCAACGGAUACCCUUCGGGGCUACCUGUCUGAUCUCUGAUUGUUGCUCUGGUACCGAAAGCUUGCUUACGGUUAUCAAAGUCGAUGGUCAAUAGGUUAGAACGGGUUAAAUUCGUUAAGGAUGUUGACGUAA